rnacentral:rRNA from 1 species
GAUGAACGCUGGCGGCGUGCCUAACACAUGCAAGUCGAACGAAGCGACUCAAAGUUUUCGGACAGAGAGUUGACUGAGUGGCGGACGGGUGAGUAACGCGUGGAUAACCUGCCUCAUACAGGGGGAUAACAGUUAGAAAUGACUGCUAAUACCGCAUAAGCGCACAGUACCGCAUGGUACAGUGUGAAAAACUCCGGUGGUAUGAGAUGGAUCCGCGUCUGAUUAGCUAGUUGGCGGGGUAACGGCCCACCAAGGCGACGAUCAGUAGCCGACCUGAGAGGGUGACCGGUCACAUUGGGACUGAGACACGGCCCAAACUCCUACGGGAGGCAGCAGUGGGGAAUAUUGCACAAUGGGCGAAAGCCUGAUGCAGCGACGCCGCGUGAGUGAAGAAGUAUUUCGGUAUGUAAAGCUCUAUCAGCAGGGAAGAAAAUGACGGUACCUGACUAAGAAGCCCCGGCUAACUACGUGCCAGCCGCCGCAGUAAGAC